rnacentral:rRNA from 1 species
AGUCGAACGGAAAGGCCCUUCGGGGUACUCGAGUGGCGAACGGGUGAGUAACACGUGGGUGAUCUGCCCUGCACUUUGGGAUAAGCCUGGGAAACUGGGUCUAAUACCGAAUAGGACUACGCGAUGCAUGUCGUGUGGUGGAAAGCUUUUGCGGUGUGGGAUGGGCCCGCGGCCUAUCAGCUUGUUGGUGGGGUGAUGGCCUACCAAGGCGACGACGGGUAGCCGGCCUGAGAGGGUGUCCGGCCACACUGGGACUGAGAUACGGCCCAGACUCCUACGGGAGGCAGCAGUGGGGAAUAUUGCACAAUGGGCGCAAGCCUGAUGCAGCGACGCCGCGUGGGGGAUGACGGCCUUCGGGUUGUAAACCCCUUUCAGCACAGACGAAGCGCAAGUGACGGUAUGUGCAGAAGAAGCACCGGCCAACUACGUGCCAGCAGCCGCGGUAAUACGUAGGGUGCGAGCGUUGUCCGGAAUUACUGGGCGUAAAGAGCUCGUAGGUGGUUUGUCGCGUUGUUCGUGAAAACUCACAGCUCAACUGUGGGCGUGCGGGCGAUACGGGCAGACUGGAGUACUGCAGGGGAGACUGGAAUUCCUGGUGUAGCGGUGGAAUGCGCAGAUAUCAGGAGGAACACCGGUGGCGAAGGCGGGUCUCUGGGCAGUAACUGACGCUGAGGAGCGAAAGCGUGGGGAGCGAACAGGAUUAGAUACCCUGGUAGUCCACGCCGUAAACGGUGGGUACUAGGUGUGGGUUUCCUUCCUUGGGAUCCGUGCCGUAGCUAACGCAUUAAGUACCCCGCCUGGGGAGUACGGCCGCAAGGCUAAAACUCAAAGAAAUUGACGGGGGCCCGCACAAGCGGCGGANCAUGUGGAUUAAUUCGAUGCAACGCGAAGAACCUUACCUGGGUUUGACAUGCACAGGACGCUGGUAGAGAUAUCAGUUCCCUUGUGGCCUGUGUGCNGGNGGUGCAUGGCUGUCGUCAGCUCGUGUCGUGAGAUGUUGGGUUAAGUCCCNCAACGAGCNCAACCNUUGUCUCAUGNUGCCAGCACGUCAUGG